GACGAACGCUGGCGGCGUGCCUAAUACAUGCAAGUUGAGCGCUGAAGGUUGGUACUUGUACCAACUGGAUGAGCAGCGAACGGGUGAGUAACGCGUGGGGAAUCUGCCUUUGAGCGGGGGACAACAUUUGGAAACGAAUGCUAAUACCGCAUAAAAACUUUAAACACAAGUUUUAAGUUUGAAAGAUGCAAUUGCAUCACUCAAAGAUGAUCCCGCGUUGUAUUAGCUAGUUGGUGAGGUAAAGGCUCACCAAGGCGAUGAUACAUAGCCGACCUGAGAGGGGGAUCGGCCACAUUGGGACUGGGACACGGCCCAAACUCCUACGGGAGGCAGCAGGAGGGAACCUUCGGCAAUGGACGAAAGUCUGACCGAGCAACGCCGCGGGAGGGAAGAAGGUUUUCGGAUCGUAAAACUCGGUUGGUAGAGAAGAACGUUGGUGAGAGUGGAAAGCUCAUCAAGUGACGGUAACUACACAGAAAGGGACGGCUAACUACGUG
rnacentral:rRNA from 1 species